rnacentral:rRNA from 1 species
AGAGUUUGAUCCUGGCUCAGGACGAACGCUGGCGGCGUGCUUAACACAUGCAAGUCGAACGGUGAAGGAGGAGCUUGCUCCUUCGGAUCAGUGGCGAACGGGUGAGUAACACGUGAGCAAUCUGCCCCGAACUCUGGGAUAAGCGCUGGAAACGGCGUCUAAUACCGGAUACGACGCGGGAGGGCAUCCUCUCCGCGUGGAAAGAAUUUCGGUUCGGGAUGAGCUCGCGGCCUAUCAGCUUGUUGGUGAGGUAACGGCUCACCAAGGCGACGACGGGUAGCCGGCCUGAGAGGGUGACCGGCCACACUGGGACUGAGACACGGCCCAGACUCCUACGGGAGGCAGCA